GUUCCUCCCCAGGCGAGCAGUCGGACAGGUCCUGGCUUGAGAGUGAGAAGUGGAUGGAAUAUCUGGGAGUGGACAAUGAUCGGGAAAUCUUACUUCCUCCUGUCACUUCUCCAAGUUGGACUGUCACAAGAGUGGAAAGGUGACACUCCACGAGAGGUGACAGCGCAGGAAGGUUCGUGUGUACAGAUUCCAUGUAAUUACAGUUAUCCAGCACAUUUAGUAGGGAGAGCACGUGUCGGAAU